rnacentral:rRNA from 1 species
GACGAACGCUGGCGGCGUGCUUAACACAUGCAAGUCGAACGCUGAAGCACCAUCUUGCUGGUGUGGAUGAGUGGCGAACGGGUGAGUAAUACGUGAGUAACCUGCCCUUGACUCUGGGAUAAGCCCGGGAAACUGGGUCUAAUACUGGAUACUACAUGUCACCGCAUGGUGUUGUGUGGAAAGGGUUUACUGGUCUUGGAUGGGCUCACGGCCUAUCAGCUUGUUGGUGAGGUAAUGGCUCACCAAGGCGACGACGGGUAGCCGGCCUGAGAGGGUGACCGGCCACAAUGGGACUGAGACACGGCCCAGACGCCUACGGGAGGCAGCAGUGGGGAAUAUUGAACAAUGGGCGAAAGCCUGAUGCAGCGACGCCGCGUGAGGGAUGACGGCCUUCGGGUUGUAAACCUCGUUCAGCAGGGAAGAAGCCACAAGUGACGGUACCUGCAGAAGAAGCGACGGCUAACUACGUG